rnacentral:rRNA from 1 species
CUAAGUAACGGCGAGUGAAGCGGGAAGAGCUCAAAUUUGAAAUCUGGUAGCCUUCGGUUGCCCGAGUUGUAAUCUAGAGAAGUGUUUUCCGCGUUGGCCCAUGUACAAGUCCCUUGGAACAGGGCGUCAUAGAGGGUGAGAAUCCCGUCCUUGACAUGGACCCCCAAUGCUUUGUGAUACACUUUCAACGAGUCGAGUUGUUUGGGAAUGCAGCUCAAAAUGGGUGGUGAAUUCCAUCUAAAGCUAAAUAUUGGCGAGAGACCGAUAGCGAACAAGUACCGUGAGGGAAAGAUGAAAAGCACUUUGGAAAGAGAGUUAAACAGUACGUGAAAUUGUUGAAAGGGAAACGAUUGAAGUCAGUCAUGCUCUUUGGAUUAAGCCGUUCUGCGGUGUAUUUCAUUGAGCGGGGUCAACAUCAGUUUUGAUCGCUGGAAAAGGGCAGGAGGAAGGUAGCACUCUCGGGUGAACUUAUAGCCUCUUGUCGUAUACAGUGAUUGGGACUGAGGAACGCAGCAUGCCUUUUGGCCGGGAUUCGUCCACGUACAUGCUUAGGAUGUUGACAUAAUGGCUUUAAACGACCCGUCUUGAAACACGGACC